AUACGUAGGGUGCAAGCGUUAAUCGGAAUUACUGGGCGUAAAGCGUGCGCAGGCGGUUCGGAAAGAAAGAUGUGAAAUCCCAGAGCUUAACUUUGGAAUGGCAUUUUAACUCCCGAGCUAGAGUAUGUCAGAGGGGGGUAGAAUUCCACGUGUAGCAGUGAAAUGCGUAGAGAUGUGGAGGAAUACCGAUGGCGAAGGCAGCCAUCUGGCCUAAUACUGACACUGAGGUGCGAAAGCAUGGGGAGC
rnacentral:rRNA from 1 species